rnacentral:rRNA from 1 species
CGGUAGCUAAUACCGCAUAACGUCGCAAGACCAAAGAGGGGGACCUUCGGGCCUCUUGCCAUCGGAUGUGCCCAGAUGGGAUUAGCUAGUAGGUGGGGUAACGGCUCACCUAGGCGACGAUCCCUAGCUGGUCUGAGAGGAUGACCAGCCACACUGGAACUGAGACACGGUCCAGACUCAUACGGGAGGCAGCAGUAGGGAAUAUUGCACAAUGGGCGCAAGCCUGAUGCAGCCAUGCCGCGUGUAUGAAGAAGGCCUUCGGGUUGUAAAGUACUUUCAGCGGGGAGGAAGGCGAUAAGGUUAAUAACCUUGUCGAUUGACGUUACCCGCAGAAGAAGCACCGGCUAACUCCGUGCCAGCAGCCGCGGUAAUACGGAGGGUGCAAGCGUUAAUCGGAAUUACUGGGCGUAAAGCGCACGCAGGCGGUCUGUCAAGUCGGAUGUGAAAUCCCCGGGCUCAACCUGGGAACUGCAUUCGAAACUGGCAGGCUAGAGUCUUGUAGAGGGGGGUAGAAUUCCAAGUGUAGCGGUGAAAUGCGUAGAGAUCUGGAGGAAUACCGGUGGCGAAGGCGGCCCCUGGACAAGACUGACGCUCGGUGCAAAAGCGUGUGAAGCAAACAGGAUUAGAUACCCUGGUAGUCACGCCGUAACGAUGUCGACUUGGAGGUUGUGCCCUGAGGCGUGGCAUCCAGAGCUACGCGUUAGUCGACCCCUGGAGAUACGGCCGCAGGUUAAACUCAAUGAUUGACGGGGCCCGCAAAGCGGGGAGCCUGUGGUUAAUUCGAUGCACGCGAAAACCUUCCUACUCUGAAAUCCAAAGAGUUAGCAAAUUGCUUUGGUCCUUCGGAACUUUUAAACAGGGGUGCAGGAUAUCGUAGCUCGUGUGUGAAUGUUGGGUAAGUCCGAAAUGAGGGAAGCCUUACCUUUGUGCCCCCGUUCGGCGGGACUCAAGGAAAUGGCAGUGAUAACUGGAGAAGGGGGGGUUGCACAAGUCUUGUGGCCUUAAAAUAGGGCACCCUUGCCAAAUGGCCCA